AUUGAACGCUGGCGGCAGGCCUAACACAUGCAAGUCGAGCGGUAGCACAGAGAGCUUGCUCUCGGGUGACGAGCGGCGGACGGGUGAGUAAUGUCAGGGAAACUGCCUGAUGGAGGGGGAUAACUACUGGAAACGGUAGCUAAUACCGCAUAACGUCGCAAGACCAAAGUGGGGGACCUUCGGGCCUCAUGCCAUCAGAUGUGCCCAGAUGGGAUUAGCUGGUAGGUGGGGUAACGGCUCACCUAGGCGACGAUCCCUAGCUGGUCUGAGGGGAGGACCAGCCCAACUGGAACUGAGACACGGUCCAGACUCCUACGGGAGGCAGCAGUGGGGAAUAUUGCACAAUGGGCGCAAGCCUGAUGCAGCCAUGCCGCGUGUGUGAAGAAGGCCUUCGGGUUGUAAAGCACUUUCAGCGGGGAGGAAGGCAUUAAGGUUAAUAACCUUAGUGAUUGACGUUACCCGCAGAAGAAGCACCGGCUAACUCCGUGCCAGCCGCCGCCGUAA
rnacentral:rRNA from 1 species